GUGUGAAUAUGCUUAUAGAUUAUUAAUAUACUAUUUUAAUCAUUUAAUUUCAGUAUGUGUGUAUGUAUGUUAUGUGUCUGUGAGCCUAUUCUCCAUUUUGGAUAUAACUGUCAGCUGUACAUCCAGAUUGACCUAGACCACCUCAAAGAUCUUAAAAUGCUUGAACCCCGGUAAUCGCUGCUUGCAGCUAUAUUUAUUAUUAUUAGGGGUUCAAGCACGCAGUGCUGAAACCCUAUUGUAAUUGUUAGGAUUUUUAUUAUUAUUAUUAUUAUUAUUAUUAUUAUUAUUCUUCCGCCUUAAAACUGAACGGGCAGCCCAAACCGUAAGGCCUAGAGAGCUGAAACUUGGUCAAAAGGUAGUAGUCUUGCUCGCUACUCAGGCGCAAAGAACCGGCCCAAUCGGCCUAACGGGGGCGCUACAGCGCAAAAUACAAAAAUUUCAGACAUUUUUGGCUGUAGCUCGUAAACCGGUUGUCGUAGACUCAAAAACAUGGCAUCGUUGCAAUCCUUGGGUUAGCCCGAACAAAAUUGCUCUGCUGGUUUUUUCGCUCUACGGCGCAUCGUUUUCUCGCAAAAUCGAGUUAUAUCUGAAACCUACUUUUGCGAACUAGUCCUAGGUUUUUC
ensembl:lncRNA